rnacentral:lncRNA from 1 species
CUAACGCCAAUGCCAUCAGCCGUAUAGCCAUGCCGGACCCUGGACAUGCCCUCCUCCCCACUCCAAAUGGUAGAAACCCAUUUGUUCUAUCUUCAAUUCCAUCAAAUCUACCAGGUUUGAACUUUGUGGGCUCUUCCCAGACCUUAGGGUCUAUAUGAAUUGCCCAGGCAUUUACUAACAACGUUGUACCACCAGGAAUUUCGAAUCCUUGUACGUUGCAAUCUUGCGAUGAACAAUGAGGUCCAACUGGGUACAGCCUGAGUGUUCAUUGAUUAUGCAGUGCAAGUAUGAUAGCUUAGGG